rnacentral:tRNA from 1 species
GCCCGGAUGGCGGAACUGGUAGACGCAUCGGACUUAAAAUCCGCUGGCCGCAAGGCCGUCCCGGUUCGAUUCCGGGUCCGGGCACCA